ensembl:misc_RNA Y_RNA Y RNA
GGCUGACCUGAGGGUAGUGAGUUAUCUCAAUUGAUUAUUCAGUCAGUUACAGAUCAAACUCUUUGUUCUACUCUUUCCCCCUUCUCACUACUAUACUUGACUAGUCUUAA